rnacentral:rRNA from 1 species
CUAAUAUUCAAAAAAAAUCUAAUUUAACCAAAAUUUGGCCCUUUCGAACAAAAAUAU